CAUGGCUCAGGACGAACGCUGGCGGCGUGCUUAACACAUGCAAGUCGAACGGAAAGGCCCUUCGGGGUGCUCGAGUGGCGAACGGGUGAGUAACACGUGGGUGAUCUGCCCUGCACUUUGGGAUAAGCCUGGGAAACUGGGUCUAAUACCGAAUAGGACCGCGCUCUUCAUGGGGUGUGGUGGAAAGCUUUUGCGGUGUGGGAUGGGCCCGCGGCCUAUCAGCUUGUUGGUGGGGUAAUGGCCUACCAAGGCGACGACGGGUAGCCGGCCUGAGAGGGUGACCGGCCACACUGGGACUGAGAUACGGCCCAGACUCCUACGGGAGGCAGCAGUGGGGAAUAUUGCACAAUGGGCGCAAGCCUGAUGCAGCGACGCCGCGUGAGGGAUGACGGCCUUCGGGUUGUAAACCUCUUUCAGUACCGACGAAGCGCAAGUGACGGUAG
rnacentral:rRNA from 1 species